rnacentral:lncRNA from 1 species
UCCAUUUGUGGUUGUGGUUUUGAAUGGUUGCAGGUAUGGCGCUAUUAACGGAGGAGUUUUUAUGCCAUAUAUCCAAGUGCAGUGUUCUACGAUUGGCUUGAAGUAGGCAAUACCCUGCGUAAUAUAUUCAAGAUAUCCUUGAAUGUAGCCCUUUUAAUAUAGCUUGCUCUUCGUUCUUUUUAGUAUCUUGCAAUUGACUUUUUUGCUUGACAUUCUUUGAAAGGUUUUCACUUAGGGGUGGUUGUGACCAUUAGAACUCUUUAAUUUCAUAUUUCUCAGUCGCUCAGGUUGCCAAUUUCCUACAUUCUUUGCUGCAUGCGGCUUGAUAUUCCGAGUAUUGUUAUAUUUGUGAGAUUGCUUCUUCUAAUAUUUACUUCUUUGGCUAUGAUAAUCUACCACUUGCUUGUUUUGUCUUCUUGUUCAGUUCGUCUGACUCUGAGUUUCCAUCUACACCCCGUCUUGCUGCCAUUCAGUGCUAUUCCUUAAGUCACUGUUUUAUUCUACACUUGGGAGAAAGAAGGCUAUACUUGAAAGAAUAUUGAUCUUGGUGGCUUAGAGGGUAUUGGCUACUGAUAACGACAUUAUGUAGAGGCAUUCUAGGGCUUGACUUGGUGUGCAAACUUGAGGAAUAUCUUUAAAGAUUAUGUCGAACCAAGGUCGAAAAAUUUUCAAAAAUGGCCUGCAUGUCACACCAUAGAGGGGCAUGGCGUGACACGACACCUAUUUUGUCCCUUAUUCUUACUUUAAUCAAAGGUGUGUCGCGCCAUAGGGUUAUACGUCGCGCCACAUGACAAAGUUUUGGAUUUUUAGGUUCAAAGGGGUUAUGUCGUAGCAUGGCCUUGGCACAUUGUGACAUGAUCCUUAUUUAGCUCAUUCGACAGUUGUCAAGGUCCUCUUAUUGUCCGUAGUAGCCUCCAAAUGUCUUUUAGCUCUUCCAUAGCUCCCAAAAACAUGUUUUCUUCCAAUUCUAACAUGUAAUUUAAAAAUAAUUAUCCUAAAAUCUAACUUCUAAUGAAAGAUUAAAGCUAAUUUACAAUAUGUACAAGUUAAUUAAAGUUCAAUGGUUUAAAAAUUAUGUUGUGC